UACGGGGGUGGCAAGCGUUGUUCGGAAUUACUGGGCGUAAAGGGCUCGUAGGUGGCCAACUAAGUCGGACGUGAAAUCCCUCGGCUUAACCGGGGAACUGCGUCCGAUACUGGUUGGCUUGAGUUUGGGAGAGGGAUGCGGAAUUCCAGGUGUAGCGGUGAAAUGCGUAGAUAUCUGGAGGAACACCGGUGGCGAAGGCGGCAUCCUGGACCAAUACUGACGCUGAGGAGCGAAAGCCAGGGGAGCAAACGGG
rnacentral:rRNA from 1 species